GAUUUUAUCCAAAGAGCCCUAUUACAAGCCGCGUCCUUAGCUGAAAAUCUGAUAGUUUCUGCUGAGGCGUCCACUAGGAAGCCUGUAGCUGACUUAAAUAAAUGGUAUUGAAUCAAGUAUCUGAUCUCGUGAUGUUUUAUUAAUUAGA